rnacentral:rRNA from 1 species
CCUGAACGCUGGCGGCGUGGCUAAGACAUGCAAGUCGUACGGGUGCAGCAAUGCACCAGUGGCGCACGGGUGAGUAAUGUAUCGCUAACGUACCCCGAAGUCUGGGAUAGCUGAGGGAAACUUCAGGUAAUACCAGAUGACAUCACUGAGAAGCAUUUCUCGGUGCUCAAAGUAGCAAUACGCUUUGGGAGCGGGCGAUAUCGUAUCAGCUAGUUGGUGAGGUAACGGCUCACCAAGGCGACGACGCGUAGCUGGUCUGAGAGGACGGCCAGCCACAUUGGGACUGAGACACUGCCCAGACUCCUACGGGGGGCUGCAGUAACGAAUCUUCCGCAAUGCACGAAAGUGUGACGGAGCGACGCCGCGUGUGGGACGAAGUUCUUCGGAAUGUAAACCACUGUCAGGGUUAGAAAGUUCUGAUCAACCCCAGAGGAAGGCACGGCUAACUCUGUGCCAGCCGCCGCGGU